GAUGAACGCUGGCGGCGUGCCUAAUACAUGCAAGUCGAGCGAACGGACGAGGAGCUUGCUUUUCUGAUGUUAGCGGCGGACGGGUGAGUAACACGUGGAUAACCUACCUAUAAGACUGGGAUCACUUCGGGAAACCGGAGCUAAUACCGGAUAAUAUUUUGAACCGCAUGGUUCAAAAGUGAAAGACGGUCUUGCUGUCACUUAUAGCUGGAUCCGCGCUGCAUUAGCUAGUUGGUACGGUAACGGCUUACCAAGGCAACGAUGCGUAGCCGACCGGGGAGAGUGAUCGCCCACACUGGAACUGAGACGCGGUCCAGACGCCUACGAGAGGCAGCAGUAGGGAAUCUUCCGCAAUAGGCGAAAGCCUGACGGAGCAACGCCGCGUGAGUGAUGAAGGUCUUCGGAUCGUAAAACUCUGUUAUUAGGGAAGAACAGAUGUGUAAGUAACUGUGCACAUCUUGACGGUACCUAAUCAGAAAGCCACGGCUAACUACGUG
rnacentral:rRNA from 1 species